rnacentral:rRNA from 1 species
CACGUAGGGGGCGAGCGUUGUCCGGAUUUAUUGGGCGUAAAGAGCUCGUAGGCGGCUCGGUAAGUCAGGUGUGAAAACUCUAGGCUCAACCUAGAGACGCCACCUGAUACUGCUGUGGCUAGAGUCCGGUAGGGGAGCAUGGAAUUCCUGGUGUAGCGGUGAAAUGCGCAGAUAUCUGGAGGAACACCGGUGGCGAAGGCGGCAUCCUGGACCGGUAUUGACGCUGAGGCGCGAAAGCCAGGGGAGCAAACAGG